rnacentral:rRNA from 1 species
CUCAGAUUGAACGCUGGCGGCAGGCCUAACACAUGCAAGUCGAACGGUAACAGGAAGCAGCUUGCUGCUUUGCUGACGAGUGGCGGACGGGUGAGUAAUGUCUGGGAAACUGCCUGAUGGAGGGGGAUAACUACUGGAAACGGUGGCUAAUACCGCAUAACGUCGCAAGACCAAAGAGGGGGACCUUCGGGCCUCUUGCCAUCAGAUGUGCCCAGAUGGGAUUAGCUUGUUGGUGAGGUAACGGCUCACCAAGGCGACGAUCCCUAGCUGGUCUGAGAGGAUGACCAGCCACACUGGAACUGAGACACGGUCCAGACUCCUACGGGAGGCAGCAGUGGGGAAUAUUGCACAAUGGGCGCAAGCCUGAUGCAGCCAUGCCGCGUGUAUGAAGAAGGCCUUCGGGUUGUAAAGUACUUUCAGCGGGGAGGAAGGUGUUGUGGUUAAUAACCGCAGCAAUUGACGUUACCCGCAGAAGAAGCACCGGCUAACUCCGUGCCAGCAGCCGCGGUAAUACGGAGGGUGCAAGCGUUAAUCGGAAUUACUGGGCGUAAAGCGCACGCAGGCGGUCUGUCAAGUCGGAUGUGAAAUCCCCGGGCUCAACCUGGGAACUGCAUUCGAAACUGGCAGGCUUGAGUCUUGUAGAGGGGGGUAGAAUUCCAGGUGUAGCGGUGAAAUGCGUAGAGAUCUGGAGGAAUACCGGUGGCGAAGGCGGCCCCCUGGACAAAGACUGACGCUCAGGUGCGAAAGCGUGGGGAGCAAACAGGAUUAGAUACCCUGGUAGUCCACGCCGUAAACGAUGUCUACUUGGAGGUUGUGCCCUUGAGGCGUGGCUUCCGGAGCUAACGCGUUAAGUAGACCGCCUGGGGAGUACGGCCGCAAGGUUAAAACUCAAAUGAAUUGACGGGGGCCCGCACAAGCGGUGGAGCAUGUGGUUUAAUUCGAUGCAACGCGAAGAACCUUACCUGGUCUUGACAUCCACAGAAGAAUCCAGAGAUGGAUUUGUGCCUUCGGGAACUGUGAGACAGGUGCUGCAUGGCUGUCGUCAGCUCGUGUUGUGAAAUGUUGGGUUAAGUCCCGCAACGAGCGCAACCCUUAUCCUUUGUUGCCAGCGGUUAGGCCGGGAACUCAAAGGAGACUGCCAGUGAUAAACUGGAGGAAGGUGGGGAUGACGUCAAGUCAUCAUGGCCCUUACGACCAGGGCUACACACGUGCUACAAUGGCGCAUACAAAGAGAAGCGACCUCGCGAGAGCAAGCGGACCUCAUAAAGUGCGUCGUAGUCCGGAUUGGAGUCUGCAACUCGACUCCAUGAAGUCGGAAUCGCUAGUAAUCGUGGAUCAGAAUGCCACGGUGAAUACGUUCCCGGGCCUUGUACACACCGCCCGUCACACCAUGGGAGUGGGUUGCAAAAGAAGUAGGUAGCUUAACCUUCGGGAGGGCGCUUACCACUUUGUGAUUCAUGACUGGGGUGAAGUCGUAACAAGGUAACCGUAGGGGAACCUGCGGUUGGAUCACCUCCUUA